GACGACGCUGGGCGGCGUGCCUAACACAUGCAAGUCGAACGGUCCGGCACUCAACCGACCCUCAGUCUAACUGUAGGGGAAGUUGAGUGCCGGGUAGUGGCGGACGGGUGAGUAACGCGUGGGCAACCAACCCUGUACAGUGGGAUAACACCGGGAAACCGGUGCUAAUACCGCAUGACACCUAUAUGGUGCAUACCGUAUAGGUUAAAGGAUUUAACCGGUACAGGACGGGCCCGCGUCCCAUUAGCUAGUUGGUGAGGUAACGGCCCACCAAGGCGACGAUGGGUAGCCGACCUGAGAGGGUGACCGGCCACACUGGGACUGAGACACGGCCCAGACUCCUACGGGAGGCAGCAGUGGGGAAUAUUGCGCAAUGGGGGGAACCCUGACGCAGCGACGCCGCGUGAGCGACGAAGGCCUUCGGGUCGUAAAGCUCUGUUCUUGGGGACGAAGGAAAUGACGGUACCCAAGGAGAAAGCCCCGGCUAACUACGUG
rnacentral:rRNA from 1 species